AUAAAAUAAUAAAGUGUUAUCAAUAGCCACAUAAAGUGUUGAUGGCUAUGCACAAUGUCAAAACAAGUUAUGACCAAAUACAUUUUGUCCACAAAAUGGAUGUCAUACGGUGUGACACUAAAAUGUGUAUUUUGAACGGGCAAUAAUUUGGACAUCUUAAUGAUGAAGAGGACCACGCCCAACCAGGAAGUUACAGUAACAUCUCUGGAGUGACUUGCAAAUUCAUGAGAGUGAGGCAGAUAUGUCCAGCAAGGAAAGGACACGCAAGUACAGGGAAAGACUGAAUGCAGACCCUGUGACGAGAGAGGAUAUCCUCAGGGAAAGAAGAAAAAAGUAUGAAGAGAAGAAACAAAAAGGAAAAAAUGACCCUCGCAGUGUCAAAUCACUUCCUCCUUCUAAGCAAGACACAUUGAGGGAGAAAUGGAGAAAUGCACAAAGGACACACAGAAAAAGAAAACAUGAGCUUGAUGCUGUAAUGAACUUGACCCCUCCAUCUCUUGAGGUUUCACUAAAUGAAGAUGACAUUGCACCACCAAUAAACAGC